rnacentral:rRNA from 1 species
CGCGUUGCGCUUCUUACCAUGCAGUCGAGCGCGAAAGAGGUCUUUCGGGACUUCGAGUAGAGCGGCAGACGGGUGAGUAACACGUGGGUAACCUGCCUCUGGGUGGGGGAUAACCACCGGAAACGGUGGCUAAUACCGCAUAAGACCACGUCCUUGCGGGGAUGGGGUCAAAGGUCCUUCGGGGCCGCCGAGAGAGGGGCCCGCGGCCGAUUAGCUGGUUGGCGGGGUAAUGGCCCACCAAGGCGGCGAUCGGUAGCUGGUCUGAGAGGAUGAUCAGCCACACUAGUACUGAGACACGGACCAGACUCCUACGGGAGGCAGCAGUGGGGAAUAUUGCGCAAUGGGCGAAAGCCUGACGCAGCAACGCCGCGUGGGUGAUGAAGGCCUUCGGGUCGUAAAGCCCUGUCAGGUGGGAAGAACCCCUCGCAAGGGGGCUGACGGUACCACCGAAGGAAGCACCGGCUAACUCCGUGCCAGCAGCCGCGGUAAUACGGAGGGUGCAAGCGUUGUUCGGAAUUACUGGGCGUAAAGGGCGCGUAGGCGGCCUCAUCAGUCCGGUGUGAAAGCCCGGGGCUCAACCCCGGAAGUGCACUGGAUACUGUGGGGCUUGAGUUCGGGAGAGGAGGGCAGAAUUCCCGGUGUAGGGGUGAAAUCCGUAGAUAUCGGGAGGAAAACCAGUGGCGAAGGCGGCCCUCUGGAACAGAACUGACGCUGAGGCGCGAAAGCGUGGGGAGCAAACAGGAUUAGAUACCCUGGUAGUCCACGCCCUAAACGAUGUCAACUGGUUGUUGGGAAUUUACUUUCUCAGUAACGAAGCUAACGCGUGAAGUUGACCGCCUGGGGAGUACGGCCGCAAGGUUGAAACUCAAAGGAAUUGACGG